rnacentral:lncRNA from 1 species
CAAAAUCCUGUCUGAAAAUUCAUGCUUAAACAUCAAUAUAUAUCAGAUGCAAACUUACCAGAAACUGAACUCUGUCUCUGUUAGUGUUACUCUGUUACUGGCUUGCAUAACAUGCACCUGUAUUAUUAUAUUUAUAUUUCGUAGAGUCAUGCAUCUAUUUCCAGUCUCAGAUCUGUGUCGAUUUGUGUAUUGCAUCACAGAUGUUGCAAAAGCGGGGCAAAAUAUACAUGUACCAGAGUGACAGUCAAACCCAUAGAUUGC